AGCUCAGCGGUAGAGCAGUUGGCUGUUAACCAACUGGUCGGUGGUUCGAAUCCACCC
rnacentral:tRNA from 1 species